rnacentral:rRNA from 1 species
CUACGGGGUGCAGCAGUGGGGAAUAUUGGACAAUGGGGGAAACCCUGAUCCAGCAAUGCCGCGUGUGUGAAGAAGGCCUGCGGGUUGUAAAGCACUUUCGGUUGGGAGGACUGCUUCUAGCACUAAUAUUGUUGGAAGUUGACGUUACCUUCAGAAGAAGCACCGGCUAACUCCGUGCCAGCAGCCGCGGUAAUACGGAGGGUGCAAGCGUUAAUCGGAAUUACUGGGCGUAAAGCGCGCGUAGGCGGCUAGAUCAGUCGGGUGUGAAAGCCCCGGGCUUAACCUGGGAACUGCAUCCGAUACUGUCUAGCUUGAGUACAGGAGAGGAGAGUGGAAUUCCACAUGUAGCGGUGAAAUGCGUAGAUAUGUGGAGGAACACCAAUGGCGAAGGCAGCUCUCUGGCCUGGUACUGACGCUGAGGUGCGAAAGCGUGGGGAGCAGACAGGAUUAGAUACCCGCGUAGUC